CUCUCGACUGCUGGAGCUUGAAGAGAGCAGACAUGAUUUUUGUAACGCUGCAAAGACAGAAAUAAAGGAAUGUAAAUACGUUUCUGUCUAUCUCUCUCCCUGCCCAGGGGGCAGGAAACCGAGGGGGUGUGUUCUUCUCACGCUGAGGAGGAUCGCCUAUCGCGACCUAGCCUGGAUCCUGCCGGGAAUGCAGACAGGGAGGUCAACAGGAGAUCAAGCCGGGUGCCUGGAGAGUGGCCAGUUUCUCCUGAUAAAGGCUUGAAUCCUAACAUAUGGUAGCACGGAGCCGAUGGUUUUGAUCCAUGAAAGCAACAAGAGAGGUUGAUGGAUCGUACUUCAUCCUCUGCAAGGAGAUAAAGAAAGAAUGUGGUAGCGGGCGGAUGGAAGCUACAAGGACGGCUGAGCACCGGAGGAGGUGUUUUUGCUGAGCAACGGAUUCCCUCAAGGUAUGGUGAUUUUAUGGCUGUGAGAGUGAACGCGAAUUGAAGCAUUCUUCGGUUCACUGAGUGUCUGCUUUUGGAUGAAACCAGCACUGAAAGAGAGCCACAUAUUUCGCAUACCUGAGUCUUGAUAAGCCUGGAAUGUCCAGUUGCUAAGCAACGAAACGUCAGUAAAGUGGAAAGUUACUGGCCAACAACGGAAGUAAGGCUGAGCACUGUGAGAGGCUGGAAAAACACUGAUAAAACAGCGUUUGUUUUGUCUGUAUAUCUCACUGCUCUUGGAGGGACUUUCAAAACAGCCUGCGUUUAGCUGCCAAGUGUGAGGCAGUAAACAGCCAAUAGACUUUUGGAGUUUACAGGCUCGAGAGUGAGAGCUGAGGCUUGGAUUCAAAAUGGAUACCAAGAAGGGGGGAGGCUUACCUUACCCACCUCCACUGACUAAUGACAAUUAUUCCUCAUGGUCUGUAAAGAUGAAAGCCCUGCUUCAGAAUCAGAGGAUUUUUGGGGUGAUUGAUAACCCCAUCCCUGCUGCACCAACGCCAGGUUGGAAUUCACAGAAUGUGAGAGCCAGGACGGCCAUAAUUCUGUGUAUCUCAGAUGAUCAGCUCGUGCAUAUUCAGGAUUUGGAAUACGCGCGUGAGAUUUGGCAAACGCUGCGUAGAAUACAUCAAAGAGAUGCUGGUUCUUCAGCGUUGCUGCAUUUUGAAAAGCUAACCAAUCUAAGGCUAGCGCCUGAUGGAGAUGUACAAGCGCAUCUGACAGAGAUGAAAUUCUUACGCCAGCAGAUGGCGGAACGCAAUUUCCCUCUACAGGAAGAGAUAUUCUGCUUCAUGAUUAUUAACAGCCUUAAUCGGACUUAUAAAACGGUUGCAAGUCAGCUUGGUUCUCUACCUGCCGCAGAUCUUUCGACGGAGAGAAUUUGUGCCGUGAUUCUCAAUGAGAAAGACAGACUUGCUGCAAUAGAUGUCAAAGGGGGAGAGAAGCUCGAAGUUCUGACACCCCCACUGCUAUUGCUAGUGAAGAACAGGCUGUUGCUUUGAACGUUGUCCGUUGUUUCAAUUGUGGACAGACUGGGCAUCUUCAGCGGAAUUGUAAGAAGCCACGUCAACAGAAAGGAGCUAAGGGGAGCUCUGCAAAGCCUGAGGCAUCAGGCAAAAGUCGUACCAAGUCCCAGGUGAAACCGGCAAAGGCAUUGCUGUCAACAAAAGCCGCAUUUUCAAUGGAGAACGCUUUUAUUUUGGACACUGGAGCGACGCAACACAUGACGUCUCGGCGAGAUCUGUUUUCAACGUUUAAGAAGCAAAGCUUCACUGUGAAACAAGCCAACGGUCAGGAGCUGGAAGCGACCGGGUUUGGAACUGUGUAUCUUGAGAGUCUGAACUUGACUAUAAACAAUGUGUAUUUGGUUCCUGAUUUAAAGUUCAAUCUGCUGAGUGUUUCGCAGAUCACAAAGAAAGGACUGACUUUGUCCUAUGAUAGAGAAAGCUGCAAAAUCUUCAAAGAUGGAGAGCUGUAUCUUUCUGCCAGAGAGAAAGAUGGACUGUAUUUGUUGACUUUUGAUCAAAGUGAUUGCAUAAAUUGUAAUGCAUCUGAUUCUAACAUGAUUUCUCUCGCAGGUGUGUCGAAAACGUCCAGAAGACGACGCAAGUAACCAAAGCUUUUCAGCGAGUGUAUGCUGAUGUGAUUGGUCCUCUAGCACCGUCUAGAGGCAAUGCAAGAUAUUAUCUUGUGUGUGUGGAUUAUUUCUCUCAUUAUGUGUGGGUAUAUAUAUUGCAGAAACCACAAGAAGCCUUAGAAAGGUUUAAAGAGUUUUGUGACAAGGUUAAGAAUGUUCAUGAUGCUAACAUUGAUUGUCUUUUCACAGAUGAAAAGCCAGUUUUUCUUUUGCAGGAUUUUCAGGAUUUCCUGGAUAAGAAAGGGAUAAGGCACAAGACUGCUGUUUCUGCAGAAGCAUGGAACAGAAGUGUCUGUGUGCAAGUGAACAAAGAAUUGCAAAAUGGCAUGAAGGCGCAAUUGCUGAGUUCACAUUUGCCACAUGAGUAUUGGGCGGAGUCGAUAUUGUGUUAUUGUUACAGUUGGGUGAGAAAAGUUUCAAAAGGUUUAGGAUGUUCUCCUUUUGAGAAGCUGUUCCACAGAAAACCUUCUGUUGCCCAUUUUAAGGUUUUGGGUCUCAUGUGAAGACUGAAGCUCCAGGUGGAGUAAAGAAUGCUAGAGGCAUUUUUGUGGGUUAUGAAAAGGGUCUCUACAGAGUAAUUUUGUCUGAAUCUGGUCAGGUGAUUCUCACAAAAUUUCUAGAGAGUGCUCCUGAACAGGAGAGAGUAAUUGUUCACACAUUUCCCACUGAGGACAGUUCAGAUGAUGAUGAUGAUUUUACUGAUUACAGUGGUACUGAGAGUGACAGUACUAGCUCAAAGAGCUCAGUUGACACAGUCAUUGAGAGGAAAUCUCACACAAUGGAUAGACCUUCACAGGUGAAGGAUGAACCACUGUUUACUAUUGGAACUGGUUCUCCAAAGAGUCCUGAGACUGAACCAGUGAGCAGAGAGGAUCAGCACCUCAUACGCAGGUCCGAGAGAGUUACAAAGGGUGUACCACCCAAGAGGUAUUCAAAAGAGUUUGCUAACUCAGCUGUAGCAUGUGUUACUAUUGUUGACAACUCAAGACAGGUUGAAGCUGUGUCUAAGUCAGAGACAAAGACACAACAGAGAGUUGCUAAGCGUAACACUACAUUCCCUAGCCAAGGUAAUGCAGAUGCACUCAUUCCUUGGAAGACAGACAACCAGAGAGGUACACUGGGGAAACCAGUGGCGGGUAGUUCCAAGGGUGGAACUGAAACAACAGGCGAGUGUUAUAUGUAUAACAACUGUUUGUUUUCUUCUCUGGAUCACGCUUUGCUCGCAGCGCACAUUGAUUCAUAUGGGGAGUAUGUUACGAUAUAGAAGCAAUGCGGCCGCGAGCUGGUAGCUUGAAAGCAAAACAUAAUGGGAAUGUUGGGACUGUUCCGUGGGAAACAGAGGGACAGUCAAUUCACAGUGCAGAGGGCACCGGAAUUAGCUCAGAGUGUAAUAUGAGCUGUACAGGAAGUACAGGAGGAGUUUGUCUCUCGACUGCUGAAGCUUGAAGAGAGCAGACAUGAUUUUUGUAACGCUGCAAAGACAGAAAUAAAGGAAUGUAAAUACGUUUCUGUCUAUCUCUCUCCCCUGCCCAGGGGGGGCAGGAAAGAGGGGGCGUGUUCUUCUCACGCUGAGGAGGAUCGCCUAUCGCGACCUAGCCUGGAUCCUGCCGGGAAUGCAGACAGGGAGGUCAACAGGAGAUCAAGCCGGGUGCCUGGAGAGUGGCCAGUUUCUCCUGAUAAAGGCUUGAAUCCCAACA